rnacentral:lncRNA from 1 species
GAUUUAGACAAAUUCAAAAGCUGCCGGAUUUCAGAGCGUGUUUGUCACUGCCAUCAUUGUUCUUUUGUUCAGGCAGCAGUGAGAAUCUGCUAAGCACUUGUGAACACUAUAUGCUGAAAUGCUUGAAAAGGCUUUCCUGCCCUGCAGGGACCCGGGCUCAGCACCUUUUUCAGACUCCAGGAAGCUCAUAUCCCGCUGAUGAACAGCUCGUGGCCAUUGCAGCACUAUGGAAAACCCGCAGCUCCUGGCAUCAUUUAACUACAUGCCACUCAGGGCACUGUGCGUGGAGGUGUGGGCAGAGGACCACGAUGAAGGCCACAGUCCCUCCAAAGCCAGCACUCCUGCGCCAAAGCCCCUGCAGGUGCAGGGUGGUGGCCUGUCUGAAGUUUAAAGGCUCACAUGGAAAAGCAGACCCCUAGGCUCUCCCAGGCCACAGUCGAGCCCGUCUACCCCCAGCUGAGUUGGAGGCCCCUCCCUCAGCCCUGCCCUUGUCUGGGCCGUGCCACACACACAUUCCCACGGCUCCUUUCCACCUGUGCAGCAGCACCUGUUAGAAAACUCAAGCUUCAGACCCAGUCUAGCAGAGUCUUCUACAGAGGGAAACAUCUUUGGUCAGCUGGGUGCUCGCAGGACGCUGGCACCCCGGGGCCUGGGACAGAGGCCGCUGCCCACCAGCAAAGGCAGAAGCUGCUCUGGAGUCCAAGUGGAAAAUCUCAGCAGCGCAGCCCUGCGGGCUGGAGCAUGGCUUCCCCGCCACCCCCGGCACACAUAGAAGCUGCUUCCAUGCCUCUGGAGGCCAGGCUGCCUGGCACCAUUGGCCAACAGCUGCUAACUGAGCGGGGGCCCUCCAUUGAGGAAGUAGGUCAUCAUCUCGCCUUUGCCCUUGACCUUGACCACGCCCCGGCACUCCAGCUGGUACGUGUUGGCAGCCAGCACCUGGUACAUGUCUGUGGUGACCUGUGGGGGAAAAGGAGGAGAGAGGGCAAGCCACUGAUGGCCUUGGCCAUGAACUGCUGUGGGGUAGAGCCACCUCUGACUGCCCAGCCCUGUUGCCGCCCCUGACACAGAAGGAGAGGGGCAGCUGCCCCACUGAGGUGCUCUCAGGGACUGACAGCAGCUCACCAUGGAAGGGAUCCUAAGAAAAGAGCAACGCCAGCUCUCACCCUCAGCACCUGCUCGUGCCAGGCACUGUGACGGGCAGCUUGCGUGUGCUGUUUCAGUGUGGCCUGUGGUCCAUGGACUGACUGCCCUGAGUCCAGAAUAAGUUCAGGAGUGGACAGUAAGUGCCGGGGAGCUUUCAAAGCCAUCUGACCUGGCUGCAGCCUGUCUCCAAGUGUGUCCCUGGUGCAUUGUACAAAAGCAUCCCUCCGUGACAGAUCAGAACGAUUUUUAAAAGCUGCUUUUCUCACCACAGGUCGUUUGAGAGCCUUUGCUUAUCUCACUGCAUCUUCCUGUGAGGUGACUACUAUACUAUUAUUACCCUCAGGCUCAGAGCAUCUAAGUCACGAGCCUGAGUUACACAGUGAAUAAAUGGCAGGGCCUGUGCUUAGGUCCAGGUCUUGUUGCCUGGCUCUGCUUUAGCUUUCGGAACAAAGAAGAGAGCUCACCGAUGGCCUCACUAAUUUCACUAUCCCAUUGCUGGGUGAAAGAGAAGAGUGGUGGGGGACAGAUGUGGGGAGGGGCAGCAUAGCCAGUGGCUCCUGGGAUGACCCAAGAGCUGUUUAUGAGCAUCGUCAGAGCUCCCCACCCCAGCCACACUGCAAGCCCACCGGUGAGUGCAAGUGCCAGGGAGCAGGGGGUAGGAGUGCUGGGUGGGCUGCUGAGAGGGGACCCCACUGUGUUACUAGCUGCAGUUCCUGUGUGGUGCAGCCCUACACAAGGUGAGUUGCUGGGUCAUUAUUGUGGCUGCUGAGAGAGUCCCUUGCGCCUGUCCCUGAAUGGGCUGGAAGCCUUGGAAACACACAUGCCCCUUGCUCCUAUCUCUAGGCCCAUCCUGCUGCCCUUCUCUCCUUUGCACAGGGAUGGAGGUGAGAAAAGGCCAUUAAGGCCAGGCCCCUCGGCCAGCAUCCACACCUCAGCCAGGUCAGGCUGAGUGGACCAGGACUGUGCUUGGGGUCAGGCCCUUUAUUCAGAGGCCCUGUGGGGGACAGAAGUCGGGACAUUUAAGCAGUAUCAUCAGUGUUGGCAAAAGGCCUUAAAAGCAGCACAGUUAGCACCUGGAAAAACAGGCCAGGCGAGCUGACCUCCCACAGCCUCACACAGAACUGGGGGUGAGGG